AUCAAAGACUCAAGAUAGCUCUUGUAUCUAUUUUCGCCUUUUUUUCUUAUCGGUAGUUGUUGUUUAUGGCAUGGAUCACCUGCACCCUUAGAUAAUAUUGAACCAGAGAUUAAUUGUUCUUUUAUUCUUUUUUUUUUAAUUUACUUUUCUCAGAUCUACGAAAGAGAGAGAGAGAAGAGAUGGAGUUCAAGGUAGAGAAGGAGAACGCGACGGCUGUUCGUCACCACCACCACCACCACCACCACCACCAUCGUUCGUCACUACCACCUUCGCUUCUCAGAUACGUCUUCACCGGAGUCGCCAGAACCACCGUCACGCUCGUCAUAACCAACAUCGCUCGUUCCCACAACCACCGCCAUCUCUCCCAUCAGCCAUCGCUCGUCACCACCACCAUCACUUCUCAGAUCCGUCUUCACCGGAGUCGCCACCACAACCGUCACGCUCCUCAUAACCACAAUCGCUCGUUACCACCACCACCAUAUUCAGAGGCUGUCUCAUUGGAAACGUUACAAUGAUCCAUUGUGUCUGUCUUUGUGUUGUGGUUACUCUCUCUCCCAUCUCUAUGUUUGGUUCUGUCGCCAUACAGAGAAGCUUUCUCAUAGGAAAUGAUUGCUUGUGUUUCUCUGUGUUUGUGGUUACUCAUAGACAACGUUACAAUGAUCGAUUGAUUUUGAGAAAGUGCUCGUAAGAGACUCAGCUUGAUCUUUGAAAAGGUCUCUGCUUGUUUCAAUUUUAGUUAGAAACCAGUUGGUUCACUGAAAAACCAUCUCUGCUUGAUCUGAAGAAUGUGUUUUAUUUUUUGUUUCACCGGCUCCAUAUUUCUCUAUAUAGUUAUGAUCUUUACAUCUCUUCAAAGUUCUAAAGGUUGAAUCUUUUCUUCUUGUUAUUUUGAUAGGGGGUAAAGUCACAGCUGCUUAAGGGUUUAACGCUGGUGGUAUGUAUGAUAGGUUACGAGAUUCAGAGGAGAAGCCUGAUCUCGGUAUUGUAACCUGUGAUGUCAAUGCUGUAGCUGCAGAAUGGAUAUUAAUCUCUGAUUUUCUAAAAAGGAUGUUGCUGGAGAUCCAUUCUCCUGAAGAAAUAUUGAGAGUCAAAGAAGAUUGACAAGUACAUGUACCAUGAUAUGUACAUGCGUGUUAAGCUAUAUAAUUGAACACAUCUUACAAGAAGCUGGACAAGGCACAAGUAGCAGAUGGUGGCGAGUUUGAAGGGUAGAUGGUGGAGGAGUUGUGGAAGAAGAAGAACAGUGAGGAGGCGGUCUGAAGUUUGAAGGGAUGAUUAUGAAGGGUUAUUAGUUGUAAAUUGAUAGGUGUUAAUGGCUUGUGUAAA